rnacentral:rRNA from 1 species
UACGUAGGCAGCAAGCGUUGUUCGGAGUUACUGGGCGUAAAGAGUGCGUAGGCGGUCCUGUAAGUUUGGUGUGAAAUCUCCCGGCUCAACUGGGAGGGUGCGCCGAAGACUGCAGGGCUUGAGUAUGGGAGAGGUAAGCGGAAUUCCUGGUGUAGCGGUGAAAUGCGUAGAUAUCAGGAGGAACACCUGUGGUGUAGACAGCUUACUGGACCAUAACUGGCGCUGAGGCACGAAAGCGUGGGUAGCAAACAGG